GUCUUUUGAGUGAUUACUUCAGGUAUUUGGCUAAACAAUCAGAGCUAAGAAAUAACUAAUUUUGCCGCUUUACUCUUUCUUACUUGCAUAUUCAGGCAUCUGAAAGAAUUCUGUCUGUAUUGACCACUUGAGGACAGAACAACUUGUAAUUCUGUUUUAUUGGAAUCCCAUAUUGUGCAAACUUAUGUUCAGUGGUGAACAUAUCCAACACAUCUUCCUUCUAUUUUCUCUGCAACAACUACCUGUGACGUGGGUUGGGCUGUGAGAGUGACUGGCCCAAAGUCACUCACAAGAGUAUUUUUUGGCAUGACCAUCACAUAUGGUAGUAUGAACCUGGUGCCUGAUUGCAUUUCCAACAUUUAACUGAAUUUUUUUAUACAUGUUUGCUAAUCUUGCAGGUGAGUAAUGCCAUCUAUAAAACAUUUUAUAAAGAUUUUCUUUGCAUGCUGUUG
rnacentral:lncRNA from 1 species